GUCGGUUUGGCCGAGUGGUCUAAGGCGGUAGAUUUAAGUAGUAUCUCUAGUUAAAUCUCUACUGGGGAAACCCGCGUGAGUUCGAACCUCACAGCCGACA